UGGUUCUGGCAUCGAUGAAGAACGCAGCGAAAUGCGAUAAGUAAUGUGAAUUGCAGAAUUCAGUGAAUCAUCGAAUCUUUGAACGCAUAUUGCGCCCUUUGGCAUUCCGAAGGGCAUGCCUGUUCGAGCGUCAUUACACCCCUCAAACUGAACUGUUUGAUGUUGGGCAAAGCCUGGAAGGCCUGCCCCAAAGUUAGCGACGGUUUCAACCAACCUCAAGCGUGCAAGUAUCGUUAUGGGUGAAGGUUGAGGCCUGUCUUAUGUCUAAACAUACCUAAAUGUUGACCUCGGAUCAGGUAGGAAUACCCGCUGA
rnacentral:misc_RNA from 1 species